GCCUCCUGCCUCCUUUUUCAGUCAUCUCUUCUCCCCUGCAGUGUUUGGCAUUGUGGGGAUGUCAGAUGCCAAUGGGUGGAAUCAAUGCAGAGGAAGUUGGCUUCACUGGAGGAUGAAUGGCCACCACUGCUUUUGUGCCAAAGGGCCAAGCCUCCCUGGGAGGAUGGACAAGGAGAACUGGCUGGAGGAGGGGUGAACUUCUUCAUCUUGUGAGAGUCCUGGCCAAGUUCAAGACUGGUGCUCUUGUUCAGAAAGAUUUAGCUGAUGGCGAGAGACCCAGGAGCUUUCUUUCACAGAACUUUAAUGAUAUAAAAGCAGUAUGAAGUGCUGCUGAUUGGGGAUUUAUUUGGAGAUGAACUUCUCCAGUGAAGAGUUGCAAGAGUCUUGCAAGUUUUUAGGUCUGGUUCUUAAAAAUGCACUUAUUUGGUAUGAGAAUGAAAAACAGUGACUGAAGAACAAAUCUCUUCAAUUGGCAAGACUUCUCUGGUAAGUUACAAUAAAAAUUCAGGCUGCAAUGUAGAUGAAUUCGUGUUCAUGUAAGGAUUAGGCUGUGCAAAAAAUCUGCAACCUGCAAAAGUCUUACUUGGAGGCCCCUUAAAAAUAAGCUCUGUUUUUUCUGUGGCACAGGAGGGUGAAUAUAGUUAACAAUGACGCAUAGCGUAUCUCAAAAUAGAAGAGAGGAUUUUGAAUGCAUUCACCACAAGGAAAUGAUAAAAAUUUAAGGUGUUGAACAUGUUAAUUACCUUGAUUUGAUUCUUAUGCAGUAUAUACAUGAAUCAAAAUAUCACAUUGUACCUCAUAAAUAUGUACUAUUCUUAUGCAC
rnacentral:lncRNA from 1 species